rnacentral:rRNA from 1 species
AUGUAUACAGAUUUGAUCAACACCAGGUCUAUCCCGCAGACCAUACACAUUUGGAAAAUUAUGGUGCCAUUGAAAAUCAAAAUGUUUAUGUGGUUUGUGCAUAAGGGAGUAAUCUUGACAAAGGAUAAUUUGGCCAAGCAUAGUUGGGAAGGAAGUAAAAGAUACUGCUUUUGUGAUAAGGAUGAAACAAUACAACAUCUUUUUAUCCCAUGUCCACUUACUAAGCUACUGUGGAGAACGAUCCACGUGGCUUUUAACGUUAUUCCGUCCAGUACGAUAUCACAUUUAUUUGGGACUUAG